rnacentral:tRNA from 1 species
GCCCGGUUGGCGUAAUCUGGUUAGCGUAGGAGUCUGUGGAACUCUUGGUGGGGGUUCAAAUCCCCCGCUGGGCC